UUCAGGUAGCUGGUUUAACAUACUCUGAGUUUAAUCCUGCGCUCUGAGUUGGUUGACUCAGAGUUCAGGGUUGAAAAGCAACUCUGGGUUUUCGGUUUCAGAACAGGUGAUCAGCGUUGGGUUAAUCAACUCUGAGUAUGUUCACUCUGGGUUGAGGGCGUGCCUGUUGACUAUGAAUAGCCAUCAUCAAUGGAUCUCUGAUAACAUGAUCAAACAUGGACCAAAAGCGUAGAUCCACUUACUUUUCCCCCACGGAAUUGGAAAUUCUAAUGAACGCGUAUGCCGAGCAGUUACCCAUUUUAACAAAAAAAAGCAAUACCGCCGCGGCAGCGAGAGCGCGAGAGAGAGCUUGGCAGGAAAUAGCUGAACAAGUCAAUGCCAAAUCGAAAAAAUGCAGAGGCCCGGCAGACUGGAGGGGGUCCACCACCUGCAGCCCUCACAGAGGCUGAGGAGAUGGCCCUCAGCCAACAGAGUAUGCGUCCUGUGGCUGAGGGCAUCCCUGGGGGGAGCUCCUCUGAUCCCCCCCACCCCCCAGGAUAGAAGUGCCUUUACAGUAUAAGAGUUACUGAUGGCGUCAUCGCCCUACUUGAACCAGAUGCCCUCACCAACCUCCAUGCAAGUGUAACAAUUCAAAAGAUGCA